CUCUCUCAGUUUGGCAUGGAGUAUUCAGAAGGACACCGAAUUCACAACGAGCAGCAAUGUGUCUGUCGGCGUAAUUAAAAAGUUGAGUAAAGAGGGGCACAACAAAGCUGCGAAUAUGGUACAUAAAAGAGACAAUGGGAGUGAACAUUGCAGCAAUGCUGCCAAUGAUCUGCAAAAUAGCUGUGCUGUCGCAGAUUUACACAACUACUGCCUCGAACCACCAUGAUCCAGAAACGGUCGGAUGCUUGACUAGUGGCACGAUAAAUAUUGUCUUUCAGAGGACACAGAUUGGAAACCUCUCUUCAAAGUUCCUGGAGACCAAAUCUGGAAGCGGUGGAACACUAUUCUCUCUGACAACACAGCAGCAGCUCCCACAGCAACAAAAAAAACGGAAUCCAUUUCCAGCAGCAUAGAGCCCAAUAAACGACACCAUGAGCAAACCAAACAACAAACAAAUGGCAACAUUCAACAUUAAUAAGUAGGUGGCAUGUGUUAGUCACUCUAGAAGUGGCGCUAAUGCUUGCUAGCUAGCCUGUGGUUAUGUUGCAUAGCAACUAGUCAAGCAACAAUACUUUUACCGGACUACUUUUUCUGGUGGAAUGUAUUUAUUAUCAAUGUAUUGAUUAAAGUUACAUGUUCAAUUUA